GACGCUGGCGGCGUGCCUAAUACAUGCAAGUCGAACGAGUUCUCGUUGAUGAUCGGUGCUUGCACCGAGAUUCAACAUGGAACGAGUGGCGGACGGGUGAGUAACACGUGGGUAACCUGCCCUUAAGUGGGGGAUAACAUUUGGAAACAGAUGCUAAUACCGCAUAGAUCCAAGAACCGCAUGGUUCUUGGCUGAAAGAUGGCGUAAGCUAUCGCUUUUGGAUGGACCCGCGGCGUAUUAGCUAGUUGGUGAGGUAAUGGCUCACCAAGGCGAUGAUACGUAGCCGAACUGAGAGGUUGAUCGGCCACAUUGGGACUGAGACACGGCCCAAACUCCUACGGGAGGCAGCAGUAGGGAAUCUUCCACAAUGGACGCAAGUCUGAUGGAGCAACGCCGCGUGAGUGAAGAAGGCUUUCGGGUCGUAAAACUCUGUUGUUGGAGAAGAAUGGUCGGCAGAGUAACUGUUGUCGGCGUGACGGUAUCCAACCAGAAAGCCACGGCUAACUACGUGCCAGCAGCCGCGGUAAUACGUAGGUGGCAAGCGUUAUCCGGAUUUAUUGGGCGUAAAGCGAGCGCAGGCGGUUUUUUAAGUCUGAUGUGAAAGCCCUCGGCUUAACCGAGGAAGCGCAUCGGAAACUGGGAAACUUGAGUGCAGAAGAGGACAGUGGAACUCCAUGUGUAGCGGUGAAAUGCGUAGAUAUAUGGAAGAACACCAGUGGCGAAGGCGGCUGUCUGGUCUGUAACUGACGCUGAGGCUCGAAAGCAUGGGUAGCGAACAGGAUUAGAUACCCUGGUAGUCCAUGCCGUAAACGAUGAAUGCUAGGUGUUGGAGGGUUUCCGCCCUUCAGUGCCGCAGCUAACGCAUUAAGCAUUCCGCCUGGGGAGUACGACCGCAAGGUUGAAACUCAAAGGAAUUGACGGGGGCCCGCACAAGCGGUGGAGCAUGUGGUUUAAUUCGAAGCAACGCGAAGAACCUUACCAGGUCUUGACAUCUUUUGAUCACCUGAGAGAUCAGGUUUCCCCUUCGGGGGCAAAAUGACAGGUGGUGCAUGGUUGUCGUCAGCUCGUGUCGUGAGAUGUUGGGUUAAGUCCCGCAACGAGCGCAACCCUUAUGACUAGUUGCCAGCAUUUAGUUGGGCACUCUAGUAAGACUGCCGGUGACAAACCGGAGGAAGGUGGGGAUGACGUCAAAUCAUCAUGCCCCUUAUGACCUGGGCUACACACGUGCUACAAUGGAUGGUACAACGAGUUGCGAGACCGCGAGGUCAAGCUAAUCUCUUAAAGCCAUUCUCAGUUCGGACUGUAGGCUGCAACUCGCCUACACGAAGUCGGAAUCGCUAGUAAUCGCGGAUCAGCACGCCGCGGUGAAUACGUUCCCGGGCCUUGUACACACCGCCCGUCACACCAUGAGAGUUUGUAACACCCGAAGCCGGUGGCGUAACCCUUUUAGGGAGCGAGCCGUCUAAGG
rnacentral:rRNA from 2 species